UCUUUUGGAUCCUUCUCCACCAUCGUAAGGCUGAAAGGGUCUCCUCCUUGCGGCCGAGCACGGGACACAGGCUGCCCGAGUCAGGGACUCCGUUGGAAGGCACCCCACGUCCUGCUUCAUCCACGCUGCAGACCAGGCACUGCUGUGCACAAGAAUGGCCACCUCCGAAGUGACCGGUAAACAGCGUGUGGCUUGCAUCACACAAGGGCAGUUUCUAUUUUAGAUUCCAUAGAACCUGACAGCUGGGUGAUAGAAGUGGGGCUGAGAACUUGUUGUCAAUGCAUGCCUUCCCUCUGAGUAACUAAACUCAGGUCUCCUGGGGAAAUGACUCAAGCACAUUGUGAAACACGCUGACCACGUCAAUACAGUCAGUGUUAGUGUGUGACAAGGAGACGCCGUGGAGGUGGGAGGUGUACAGACAAAUCUGGUUAUUCAACAAAACAGUAUUUCAAGCCGGUUUCAAUCUUAGGGUCAUCUAUCAUGGAAUUACACUAGCCUGAAACAAACAGGAUAUAAAAUUCUAUUUAAAGCAAAUGUGUCAUGCUUUCAUUUAAGGAAAUGCACACACACACACACACACACACACACACACCCCACCUUGAAUGCUAGUACCCCCGGCUGGCUAGCUCUGUCUACAGCCAGGUUUCAGCUUACAACUGCUGCCAGUCUGUCUCCUCACAUGUCAAACAAGAAGGGACAAGGGCACUGCCAAGCACGGUGGUGGAGACUGUGGCACAAAUUUUAAUUUAAAACUUUAAAUUUAACACUUGGCACUCUGCACUUCCAAGCUGAGCGCCCCGUCUGUGAGAAUGAGCAAACACUGUUUGGUGGAAAGUCAGAUGCUCUGGAUUCGUGGAGACGAACAAAACACGGUAAAAUAAACUAAUUAAAGCUGACAGAAGACAAUGCAUCCCAAAGCUGAGCUUUGUAAAGAUAGACACAGCAGACACAGCUAUGUGGGGCGGGCAAGAAGACAACCCCUCCAUACUUUGUACACCGCCAAGAUUCUCCACUUUACCUGGGCUGCUCCCUCUGCCAGAUCAGGAGGUCUAAUUUUGGUAUGUGUGUGUCUGUGUGUGUCUGUGUGUUUACUGUGUUCUACAUACUACAUCUGCAUGAGAAUAACUUAGAGAUCCUUUAAAAAACAUAGUCACAAAAACUGUUCCAUGGGAUGUGACAUUCCGAGUCAGGCUUAGAGGAAGGAGGUGACCAUCCCACCAGAGAUUACACGCCUAUUGAAAAUGCUACAUGAACUCCAACAAGGAACCGGUUCCCUCCAGUUGCAAUGUAAGCCAUGAGGCCCAUAUUCUAAUUAUAAACCAUGUACAGUCUCACACGCCCUGUUGAAUUCUUUUGGAAACAAUAAGGUGUUUUCCUCCCAGACUGCAUGAGAUACCAAAGGGUCACUUGGCCCCGGAGACUCUGCCUAGCCUAGUCUCUCUUCUUCAGGGGAGAUCCAGGAUGGAACUCAGGCCUUGACCUUUUGGGGUAACAGAGCAAGCACAUUCUUUCUAGAAAUAGGCCAGCAAAGGCAAAGAAAAUUAAAAAAAAA
rnacentral:sRNA from 1 species